rnacentral:rRNA from 1 species
CGGGUGGCAGCAGUAGGGAAUAUUGGGCAAUGGCCGAGAGGCUGACCCAGCCAUGCCGCGUGCAGGACGAAGGCUUUCUGAGUCGUAAACUGCUUUUGCCAGGGAAGAAAAAAGCGGAUGCGUCCGCUACUGACGGUACCUGGUGAAUAAGCACCGGCUAACUCCGUGCCAGCAGCCGCGGUAAUACGGAGGGUGCAAGCGUUGUCCGGAUUUAUUGGGUUUAAAGGGUGCGUAGGCGGUUCUUUAAGUCUGGGGUGAAAGCCCGUUGCUCAACAACGGAACUGCCCUGGAAACUGGCGAACUUGAGUACAGACGAGGGUGGCGGAAUGGAUGCUGUAGCGGUGAAAUGCAUAGAUAGCAUCCAGAACCCCGAUUGCGAAGGCAGCUGCCUAGACUGUAACUGACGCUGAGGCACGAAAGCGUGGGGAGCGAACAGGAUUAGAUACCCGAGU